ACUGGUGGUUGCUAGAAGUGUGCUAAUGGGAUCUGUGUCCAUGAGUCACUCUGACUGUUGAGAUCACAGGCACUUGUGGCUCCUUCCGUCCUAGAGAAUACAAAACCGUGAGCACAUAAUGAGGAAUGUACCAGAGAGCGGAUCUCCUGAGUUACACUGAAGGCCUCCCCACGGUUACGGGAGAUGUAGCUGACACUGAGGAUGGAGGACGGUCACAAGGCCCACAGAACUGUGCGACUAAUCAAAAACCUGGCCCGGAGCGGAAAGGUCAUUGUCAAGAACCAGUGACACCCACUUCAUCGAUGGGAACAUUGAGCCGGGCGUGGCCGAGUGUAUGAACCCUGACUGGUUGACUUCCCUUACACCUUCCUUGCCCCACGAGCGAGGAUCAGUGACCUUCAGGCCCACAGCCACAGGCCUCCAAGGAGAGUCACACCCCAGCACAGCCUGGACUGAGGGUACCACGCCAGUUCACAAAAGAAGGAAUGAAGACUCGUUACACCCUGCUGCACCCAGGAGAAAAAUCCUCAUCUAGCAGAGGUAUUUACAGAGGCUAAGCAGCUUGUUUCUUUCGACUUUGAUUGGUCUUUACUCGGCCUCUGGACAAGAAUGGUUAAUCUCCUCCCAGUAGGACAAAUUCCUUCCAGAUGAAAGAUAAAGAUCAAAGCUUGGUGAACUGACUUGGCUGUCAGGGAAACCACAUCCCAACCCAACUCUUGUUGGUGAGAAGCUAUGUGAUGUGCAUGCCUCACUUAACUCCUCCUCCCUGUUCAGCUGGCAAAUGAAAGGCUUGGACCAGCUCAUCUUGAAGAGCUGUUUCAGCUCUAGACUGCCACGGAGUAUGACAGCAAUAACCAGUCAAUAGUCAUCGCCAUGAAUGUCACACCACCGGGAAUGUGCAGAACAUGUUUAUAUCCCAAUAUAUUUGGAUUUCAUCUGCUACUAAUCAUCCACAUUCUCCAUGGUGUGGAUCUGGUUUUUCCUUUCGUUCUUUCUUUUGGGGCUGUUUGCAUUAGCAGAUGUGCUAAGUUGCGUAUAUUUAAGUACCUACAACUGCUCCUAGUUGGUGCCCACUCUGAAAAGAAAUUCUCCCUUGCAAGUCAAGCACUUCAGAGAUGUUCCCCUAUAUGGAAGAACUGUUUGGAUUCCAGUAUUUGCAUUGUUUUGACGUGUUUCCUCAGAGGCAGAUGGUUUGGCAGUGUGGGCAAAAUAAUUCAAUUUAUACUUUUUAUUGCGUGUUUGUAUUUUUUAUUCUACUUUCAAAUCUGUCCUGAAGCAAGAGACUCAGCACUUUCCCCCAGUUCACUUAAUUAGAAGAAAGAAAUAAUGAGGGAGCGCACAGCUGCAGGACCUUGGAGGGACAGUGAAGCGUUAGGGUGAGGAAAGGCUCACCGAAGCUUCGAUGGGUUCUGCGAGUCUCCUCGGUUUCCAAAACUGUAUCUUUUCUUUCGCUCUGCCUUCCGAGCAGAGCAGACAGUGCCUAACCCACACCCACAUUUCGCUGAGCUGCACUCUGGCGCGGAGGUCAUGACUGCAAAGCCCUGGUGAACAGCCGCCAACAAAAACCACCGAGCGAGGCCCUCGGGUGCACCGGGCGCCGGGAGAAGCGUGGCAGCGGACUUGCCUGUCCAGCUGCAGUUCAGGCGCCCAGGCUGAAUGGUUGCGGGGUCCUCAGGAGCCGGGAAGAAAGGGGAGUGAGGAGGAGCAGGACAGAAGUUCAGUCUGCAGCACCUUGGCUCCUUUCUUCCGUGCUUUUCCCAGAAGCGCAGCGCACCGAAUGGCUUGUGGAAAACUGGCAUUUCCAGUGAACGAGAAGGGGCCGCCCUGGCAAGCAGCGGAAGGGAGCCGGGGGCAGCGCCGCGGGGCUUGGCCUGUCCUGUCCCCUCCUGUCCCCUCCUGUCCCCUCUUGCCCCGUCCUGUCCCAAGGCCCCGUGAGGGUCCGCAAGGACCGAUUUCACCUACAGGGCUGGCCGCAGUUCAGAGAGUUUACGGUUUCUUAGUAACGCUGUUUACUUGGCAGGACUUAAAAACUGUGAUUCCUCUGCAAGCUAAGGGUAAAAAAGAGACGGUAGAAGUCGUGCGGGUGAACAAGUGCUCAGAUGGCCUACUUGAGAAAACUCACUUUUGUUUUCUUUUGGGGAAACACACACACACACACACAGAGUUAUUAAAAAAGCCAGAAAACCAACAAAAUUCUCCAGAGUUCUGGCCUUUGAAGAAGA